GUAUUUCAUGGCCUUGAACACAUUAAAUUUUAUUUCUUGAUCUUGGACUCUCAUAGUAAGUUCUCCUUUUUGCACGUCUAUGAGUGUCCUUCCCGUGGCCAAGAAAGGUCUCCCUAGGAUAAUCGAGAUGUUCUUAUCCUCAUCAAAAUCCAGAAUGAUAAAGUCCGCAGGGAAUAUAAACUUAUCCACCUUAACCAGAAUGUCCUCUACAAUGCCUCUCGG
rnacentral:lncRNA from 1 species